rnacentral:rRNA from 1 species
UACAGAGGGGGCAAGCGUUGUUCGGAAUUAUUGGGCGUAAAGGGCGCGUAGGCGGUUUGUUAAGUCGGUUGUGAAAGCCCGGGGCUCAACCCCGGAGGGUCAGCCGAUACUGGCAGGCUAGAGUACGGAAGAGGUAGCUGGAAUUCCCGGUGUAGCGGUGAAAUGCGUAGAUAUCGAGAGGAACACCUGCGGCGAAGGCGGGUUGCUGGGCUUACACUGACGCUGAAGCGCGAAAGCUAGGGGAGCGAACGGG